GAGUUUAUCUCUUGUCUGAGUGUGGUAACAAGGUUAGUUGUGUCUAGACUUGGUCGUAGCUCUAGUAGAGAGAGGCCUGUGGCCUGAAUUUGAUAUACAAAGAGAACUGAGAAGGCCUCUGAAGCCUUGGUUGCUGCCUAGUCAUCAACACCAUCAGAGCUCUGAGAUGGAUGAAUUUUACCUGAGUCCACUCUUUCUUCAAGAAGUGUGCCAAGGCUAACCUGCAGGGGCCUCCAGAUACGCCAGUCCCUGCACCAGCUCAGAGGACACCAACUGGCAUCCCAUGCCAACAGAAAGUAGCCAGACUUGAACUAGCACCCAUAUAUCCAAGAAGGUUGGGAUAUUCCAAUGGAAGCUCCACCUCCGCUUUCCUUCUUUCUGGCCAAACCCUGACCUUCAGAAAGCCUGUCCUGAGAAUCGACAAUGACAGCCAUACUUUCAGUUUUGAAUGGGUGAGUUUAUUAAGUAUGUAACAAGCCAAAGUACAAGAGUAAAUAUAAAAACAAGAAAGUAUCAUUAACCAUGUGCUUGAAAUAUCCAGGGGGAAUUGACUGGGGCGUCCUCGGGUGAGGAGGGGGCAUGGCAGAGCUCCCAGUGGAGUUCAGGGCAGAACAGAAUUAGCCUUUGGUGAGGCUUCCAGGUUGAAGAAUAAAUAGCAACAAAGAGAUAACAUCAUCAAAUUGGAUGCUCACAACAGCCAGUGGAAACUGUCUAUGGAAGCCAAGCAGUCAGCCACAGUUCCUGAUUGAGUUUGCUCUCCAUGGCUGAGCUCCCAGGGCUGAACUUCUGGCUACUCAUUCUCAUUUUAUAUCACAGGAAAAACAGUUGCUAUGUCUGUUGGAAUGGCUCACCUUCCAGCUGUUCCCAAGCACAGUGUUUUCACUCUGGGCCUGUUUUGCUAGUUUCUCUGCUCAGUCACUGGGUUAGAGGGGCCAGGCCAUCCUUAGAAAAGAUGCUCUGGAGGACAUUUGGAGACAAACAAACUUGGCUUUAAAAUGAGGAAAGGGUACAAUCUUGCUUCCAGAGUCAUCUUCUCAGUGGGUUCCCUCAGCACCUGACAGUUCACCAUUAUGGUUAAGUUUUAUUUAGGAAGAUAAUUGAGCAGGAAGGGCACUAUAGAAAGUCAGAAGCUGAAGUGUGACAGAAGGGCAGAAUGGACGGUGGGCUCUCUGAGCACUGUGCUGUUGAUGGCUGGAGGGAUGGGUAGUGGAGAGAACAGAAAGAAAGGCCUAUGUUAACAAAACAGUGUGCUUACACGGCUGAGGCUGUUUGCUUGUAUCAUUGAUUGAAAAAAUUAUUUUGAAAUUCUUCUCAAAUAGGCUUCCUACUGCGACUCCAAGGUUGUUGAACUUGCUGUUCUGAAAGAGAAGUAGGAAAUCAGUGAUAGCCAUUGCUUGGUUGAUCAGAGACAAUGGAGUAGAGUUUCUACACCCCAAACUCACGUCACCCUGGACAAAAUGAAGUUUUCAUGCCCACUUCGUGCCAUAUCAGUUUUCUCCAAUGGAGUGUCACAGCGUAUAUCAACAUUUCCAGGACAAGCCCCAUGCCUGGGAGUAGUUGGUCAACAUAAAACAGACCCUGUGGGUUUUUGUUCUUGUGUGUGUGUGUGUGUGUGUGUGUGUGUGUGUGUGUGUGUGUAUGCACUUUUUGUAUUGUUUUGCUAUCUUUUGUCUUGGUUUAUCUGUCUGACUUUUAGUUUGUUUUUAUUUUCAUUUAUUUGUUUUUUUUGCUUUUUCCUUUUUUUUGAGGGAGAGAAUCUGAAGUCAAGUGGAUUGGGAGGUGGGGAUGAUCUGGGAAGAGUUGGGGGAAGGGGAAGAAUAUGGUGAAA